CGGGAAUAGGAAUGGAGCCAGGCAUGGGAAAGGGAACGUGGACAGGACCGGGGCCUCGUGAGCACGGGCUCGGCGGCAGCUGCGGGCGCAGAGUGCGGGCGGGACGGGCCCGCGUGUGCCGGGGCGCACGGGACGUGCGAAGCCCCCGCCUGCGGCCCCGCGGGCCCCGGGAACUCUCUGAUGACCUGUAAUUAGCCAAUAACUGGCAAUAGGCCCCGUUUGCCGUAAGGAAGUCGUUGAUGCGUCACGUGCACCGGCCCCGCUAUCGCGACAGCGCAUCCCUGUCACCAGCUUGCGUCCAGGUGCCACGGCCCUGGCCAGAGACCACGGUAGGAGCUGGUGGGCUCAGGCAUUGCCUGGUGCAGCCUCACCAAGCCCAGGCUUGAAAAAUACACAGUGAGAGAAAAGGAAGCACUUCAGGUGCUUCAGAGAUGCUAUUGGAAUUCUGUUGUGCUUGUUUGUGUCACUUUUUGGUGCCCUUUUUGCUCUUCAAAGUAGCAAAGUGGAAACCCCCGUUCUUUGGCUGCCUGUUUUCACUCUUAAUGUGCAGGCACUUGGAAAUAUUGCUGAGAUUUCAACCAAUUCCACUUGCCAGUUUCAACUUUAGAAGAGGCUUGAUGGUUUAUUUGUUUGGAGAGUUUGUUUUGGGGUUUUUGUUUGCUUUUUUAUGUAUUUAUAUAAUUAUACCCUUCUUCCUUC